rnacentral:rRNA from 1 species
UACGAAGGGGGCUAGCGUUGUUCGGAUUUACUGGGCGUAAAGCGCACGUAGGCGGCUUGGUCAGUUAGGGGUGAAAUCCUGGAGCUCAACUCCAGAACUGCCUUUAAUACUGCCAGUCUCGAGUCCGGAAGAGGUAAGUGGAACUCCUAGUGUAGAGGUGGAAUUCGUAGAUAUUAGGAGGAACACCAAUGGCGAAGGCAGCUCGCUGGGACGGUACUGACGCUGAGGCGCGAAAGCGUGGGGAGCAAACAGG